rnacentral:sRNA from 1 species
GCAUUCUGAAGUACUGGCGUAGCUACAGAGAAGCCAGUUCCCUUCAGAGUGU